rnacentral:lncRNA from 10 species
AGCCCAUUUUCCUUUACUUCUUUGUGGUUGUGCUCACCCCGCAUCAAGGUUGCUAAGCUGCUGUGAUGGAAUCCUGGAGCUGCUGAAGGACACCUCAUCUCUUUGUGGGAAGCAUCUGCUUGAGGAUUAAGGGAAUGCAGAAAAAAAGUGGAGUAGAGAGAUGGAGGAAGAUGACUUUCGAGGACAUUGUGUGAGCACCUGGAUCUAACUGUGCCUGAAGCAAAACUCAAACCCUGGACUCUCAAUGUAUUGGCUCUCAGUUCCAAGACCCAAU